UGACAAAAUUGUUGAAAUUUAGCAGA
rnacentral:piRNA from 1 species